rnacentral:lncRNA from 1 species
UAUAGUGUAAGGCAAAAUCAAGGUAUGGCUAAGGCGUAAUUAGCAUUAGCUUUUAAUUAAGUUGGUCAAGUUUUAUUAGCAAUUAACUAAGUAUAAGUUUAAACCACCCGAAAUUAAACAUGAGCAUAAAUAAAGUAAACAACAUAUGCAUGAAAUGACAACAAUUUAAAUCCAUCUUCCGAUAAUAUUAUCAUGUGAGGGUUCAGGCCGCUCUUAACCGUGAGCACGACUGAUCGAUCAGUUUUUACACUCUGCAGGGGUGGCACAUCUUUACCCACAAGUCGCGUAAAAGUUCA